rnacentral:tRNA from 1 species
AGGGAGUUGAGUUAAUGGUUAUUCGCUUGGUCUCCAAAACCGAGAAUUUCAGUUCGAAUCUGAAACUCCCUGCCA